GGGAGAUCUUAACAAUGAAUACUGAUAUGGAACGGAUGCGGAAACAGAGCCCCUACCUUCUCUUCUCAAGGAAGAAGCGGGAAGGAAAGGUUGGUUGCACGUUUUCUGGGAGUAAUGCCUCCUUUCUCUCUCCCCCAAGGACUCAGUCUCUCGGGUAUCUAUCAACAUAUAGAGAUCUUGCCUCUGUCGCUGCAUAGAGUGAUCUUCUUCAAUCUCCGAGUUCGAAGGGUAGAACAAGGGAAGGUCAAGGCUUUCCUCUCAUUACUCUUUCCACGGC
rnacentral:lncRNA from 1 species